ACGGAAGGCAGCAGUGGGGAAUAUUGGACAAUGGGGGAAACCCUGAUCCAGCGACGCCGCGUGAGUGAAGUAGUAUUUCGGUAUGUAAAGCUCUAUCAGCAGGGAAGAAAAUGACGGUACCUGACUAAGAAGCACCGGCUAAAUACGUGCCAGCAGCCGCGGUAAUACGUAUGGUGCAAGCGUUAUCCGGAUUUACUGGGUGUAAAGGGAGCGUAGACGGCGAGGCAAGUCUGAAGUGAAAGCUCGGGGCUCAACCCCGGAACUGCUUUGGAAACUGUUUUGCUAGAGUGCAGGAGAGGCAAGUGGAAUUCCUGGUGUAGCGGUGAAAUGCGUAGAUAUUAGGAGGAACACCAGUGGCGAAGGCGGCUUGCUGGACUGUAACUGACGUUGAGGCUCGAAAGCGUGGGGAGCAAACAGGAUUAGAUACCCUGGUA
rnacentral:rRNA from 1 species